rnacentral:rRNA from 1 species
UACGUAGGGGGCGAGCGUUGUCCGGAUUUAUUGGGCGUAAAGAGCUCGUAGGCGGUUUGGUAAGUUGGAUGUGAAAUCUCCAGGCUCAACUUGGAGGGGUCAUUCGAUACUGCCAUGACUAGAGUUCGGUAGGGGAGUGUGGAAUUCCUGGUGGAGCGGUGAAAUGCGCAGAUAUCAGGAGGAACACCGGUGGCGAAGGCGGAUCUCUGGGCCUUACCUGACGCUCAGGCGCGAAAGCUAGGGGAGCGAACAGG